rnacentral:rRNA from 1 species
CGGUCACUGACCAAUACCGACGGGGGCAGGGGAGUGUGGGGUGGUCACUAUUCACGACGGGGGUGGGGGCGGGGGAGUGUAGAGUGGUCGCUGUUCACGACGUUUGGUUGUGGGUGACCACAACAGCUAUGACCGCUGUUCACUACUUCUGCUCGCCACCGGCCGCAACCCCGCAACAUUGGUGCCGCUUUUCAAUACCUCUAGACCGGAAAACAAAAACUUUCGUCUGGGUUAAAACGACGAUUGCGGAAGCAAAAAACGACUUUGUAAGUAAAAAAAAGAACGAUGCUACACAAAACGAAAAACGACCUUGGUUGAAGUUCUGCCGUACCCCUUUUUCGAAGAUGGGACCCUUCUUUUUCGAAGUUAGCCCACACUUUUUCGAAGUAGGCCGACGUCGUUUUCGAAGUUCACGGUACUCCUUUUUCGAAGGUGGCAUCCUUUUUUCGAAGUAACCACUUUUUUCGAAGUUGGCCACUAAAUUAAACGACCUUGGUUAACUACAAAAACAACCUUGGUUAAAAGAAGUACUCCACGCCGCCGCUCUGUAAAAAAUAAAAACGACAUAAACACGAAAAAGGACCUUGGUAGUUUACUAAAACGAUGUUCCUCGAAACUAAAAACGACCUUGGCGGACUUCGCCUCCUUAUGUAAAUUAAAAACGACCUUGGAGAAAGUUAAAAACGAUGUUGACCGUUAGUGUUUUCGAUGUUAGCCCCUAGUUAAAACGAUGUUACCGCUGUCCCACCACCGUGCCUGCUCGAUACAAACGACCUUGGUCGUGUUAAAAAACAAUGAUGGCCGCCAGUUUAAACAACGGUGGUCGUUUGAGUUUCCUUUCGGGAAAAAAGCACUCGAGCAGCGGUCCCACAACGCUGGUCGCUGGCCGCGAUGACCUCGAUACCGGCAGCAUCGCCUCGAUGGUAGCGGCCACUCCCUCGACGUUGGCGCCGGCAUUCAACAACGUACACAGCUAGGCCGCUCUUUCUGUACUCUGCUGCUGCCGCUCCAGCCGCCGCUGCCGCCGGUACCGCCACUCUGCAACGGCCGUAGCCCACCCACGUGUAGGGGCACGUCGGUGCUGAGGGUACACACGGGCCACCGACCUAAACUCUGCGUCCCCUCCUUCUGCGAUACGAACAGUACCGUAGAUUCUACGCCCCAAUCUUCUGCUGGAUGACAGUGCCCUAGCCUGCUAACCUUAAUCCUUUUAGCCUGCCAACGCCCAACUGGCCGGGUUUAAACUCGCCACGCGGCCGCUGGGCGGAUCAUUUUUACAGUACCGACAUGACGGGUGAUCAUGUCGGCUAGACGAGGAGCACGCGGAACACGUGCGCCAAGGAAGCGGACAUUCCGAGGUUGGGGGACUUUAUUGUGCGGCAAGGUAGGUUGUCCUUCGUUAAACGUCUAGGUAGGGUAGUACCUUCGUCUGCCGUUGCUCUAGAGCGCGGACGGCCUCCUCGAGGAGCGCAGCUAGUAGAGGGCGUGCAGCGGCGGCCUGCGGCCUGCGACACGGCGGCAGAGGGCGAGGAAGGAGCGGCGCCGCCUAAGGCUGCGGCAGACCAGGACGAAGGACGGGGCGCUGGAGGGUGCCAAGCGACUUCCACACGAGGGGGUGCGCGGCGGCAGGUUCUUCCCGAACAAGGCUACGGAGAGGCUGGUUGGCCGCGAGGAGGGUCCGUUCGAGCACCAUGCAUGCAUCAUGUCUAGGGUACAUAUAGUGGGGUUCAGGGGUUGGGUUGGUCAUGACGAAUACUUUUAGCCGAUUAGGUAGCUAGGCGGGUCCAUUCUGGUAUACGGAGUAUGCUCGACACUACGUUAAGGAGAGUGUCUACUGCAAUACGAGGGAGCUUUUUCCCAACUGCCGACCUACCUCCAGCUCGAUCCGCUCAAGAUGUUGCCACUUUCGACGCUGUCGCUACACAGACACACGGAUUUCCUUUGGCUUCCUCCUCAAACCUUCUGACCAGAAUAACACACCCCAUAACUCUAAUCUUGAUUCGUUACUACAACUACUCGAACAACCCAAUUCUUGCAGCAGAUGUAAGGAAAGAUUUUUUGUUAGACAAAUUCAACAACGUUCACUUUGGAAUUGAUAGGUAGAUUUAAAAACUUUGUCAAGCAACCACUUUCAUGUACAGACAACGAUAAGCAUUGAGACAGAAGAAAUAGAUAAAAGUAGAGCUGGUUAUGUAACUGAUCAUACAUUUCAGUUCCGAAAAUAAAUACAGAAAAUCUA